rnacentral:lncRNA from 1 species
AGAUCACUGCAGGCCUGACCAUUAAGCCCAAAUCUCAUCCAUCCUCGCCUCGGUCUUUAACCACUGUCCACUGGCAUCCUCUGCUUGCUCACACACAGACACACACAUCCACCUCACCAGCGAAUCGACCGAUCACCGUGGUAGUCAACAGCAAUGGCCAGAUUCCGAUCUCUGCAGUCUGAAGCUCUCCUGCCAGUCUUCAUGCUUCUUCUCCUGCUGCUGCUGAGCUUGUCGCCGGUGUCGGCGGCAGCGCACCGCUCCUCCACGAAGCUGUUGGUGACCGCGGCGCGAACGUCGUCGUCGGAGGGGCAACAAGACAUGGACGUAGGCCGCCGGCGGACGGUGGUGCCGUUCAGGGGAGCGGGGGCCGACCUCGGGCGCCGUCGGGUGCCGAAAACCCGUGCAAAUCCGUCUCACAACUAGCUAGUGUAGCAGCAGGCAAGUACCAUGACUCUGAAUCAUGUCUGUUUUUCAAGACAGUCGGAAAACUGUAAUGUUCCCGAUUUCUCUGCCCAACUGAUCUGAUUUCCUGGUGAUUUCAGUAGGACCAAAAGUUGAGUGAGAUCGGCCUGAUCAACCCUGCGGUAGCGGAGAAGGAUCAUCAACCUAGGCAGAAGUUGAGCAACCAGGUAGCUGGUUGUAGAUGGCAGACUUUUAAUGUAGCUAGCUUCCUGGUUGCACAUCAGAUUGUACUUUUUUUUGCGGUUAUUUUUUUUUAGAAAAGGAGGAUGACCCCCGGCCUCUGUCCAGAUGCAUGCAGCCAUUUUAUUAAUUAUUUACAAAGAUUUUACAAAGCAAUACAUCAAUAUAUCUGAAGCCGUCCUCUUGACAAUAUCUGUCGCUACUCCUAUCCAAUGAUGAAGGGGUGCAAAAAGUGUGAACCACGUACCCA